UACGUAGGGGGCAAGCGUUGUCCGGAAUUAUUGGGCGUAAAGAGCUCGUAGGCGGUCUGUCGCGUCGGUCGUGAAAACUUGGGGCUUAACCCUGAGCUUGCGGUCGAUACGGGCAUGACUGGAGUUCGGCAGGGGAGACUGGAAUUCCUGGUGUAGCGGUGAAAUGCGCAGAUAUCAGGAGGAACACCGGUGGCGAAGGCGGGUCUCUGGGCCGAUACUGACGCUGAGGAGCGAAAGCGU
rnacentral:rRNA from 1 species